rnacentral:lncRNA from 1 species
GUAAAACUUAAGUCAAACCAUAACCAUAAGACAAAUGCUAGGUAAUUUGAGUGUGCAUUUCUCAUUCGAAGAAGUCAUUCCUACUUACUCUACAUUCUUCGUCCAGUCUGGAGGGUUACUCAAGGUCAUAAAUACACAGUUGGUCAAAAUAGUGCACAUGAUAAGCAUGCUGAAUAAAGAAUGUACCAAAAUCUUAAUAGCAAUUUUCCUAACAGGGUUUAGCGGAGUUAAAAUAUACAAGGCAGAGGUGGCACUGAAUCGGAAAAUUGCCUUCCCUUUAUUCAAUACUAUAAAAGUCUGAAAAAGAAAAUAUGAAAAAUAAUUACUAGAUUAGACAUGUGGCUUACUUGAAGAGCUUAAG